GCACUGCUGAGGAGUCAUAAAAUAGGACGAAACGGCCGUCCAGUAC
rfam:Schistosoma mattheei strain Denwood, Zambia genome assembly, scaffold: SMTD_scaffold0000601